CUGAGCGUGUGAGACCAGCCGUCGUGGCAUCUGCUACGUGCGCGCUGCGUCGAACCCCUCCACCCGUGCCGACUUUAAUGUUUUGUUGCUUUGGCGGACCGGACUCAUUCGCUGUUGCGUUGUGAGGCCACCGGCUUAGGCUGGAGCGCGUCCGCCAGAGACUUAGCCCAACUCGUGUUGUCAUAUAGUCUAAGGUUUUUUAAAUAUAAAUAAAACUUUCAACAACGGAUCUCUUGGCUCUGGCAUCGAUGAAGAACGCAGCGAAAUGCGAUAAGUAAUGUGAAUUGCAGAAUUUAGUGAAUCAUCGAAUCUUUGAACGCACAUUGCGCCCCUUGGUAUUCCGAGGGGCAUGCCUGUUCGAGCGUCAUAUCAACCCUCUCUCGAGCCACUGUUUGUGUGGCUGCGGUGUUGGGGCUCGUCGAUCAAACUAGACCGACGGCCCUUAAGACAAGUGGCGGUCUCGGUGUAGGCUCUACGCGUAGUAUUUGUUUCUCGCGACAGAACGACACUGAUGGCUGGCCAAAGGAUAAACGAAGCAAGAAAUUGUGUCGCAGCCGCGGCGCGAUUUUAAUCAAAGGUUGACCUCGAAUCAGGUAGGGAUACCCGCUGAACUUAAGCAUAUCAA
rnacentral:rRNA from 1 species